rnacentral:tRNA from 1 species
GGAGAGGUGGCUCAGAGGUUAAGAGCACUGGCUGCUCUUCCAGAGGACCUGGGUUCAAUUCCCAGCAAUUGUA